rnacentral:rRNA from 1 species
AGUCGAACGGUAAGGCCCUUCGGGGUACACGAGUGGCGAACGGGUGAGUAACACGUGGGUAAUCUGCCCUGCACAUCGGGAUAAGCCUGGGAAACUGGGUCUAAUACCGAAUAGGACCACAGAACACAUGUCCUGUGGUGGAAAGCUUUUGCGGUGUGGGAUGGGCCCGCG